AUUGAACGCUGGCGGCAUGCCUUACACAUGCAAGUCGAACGGCAGCACGGGUGCUUGCACCUGGUGGCGAGUGGCGAACGGGUGAGUAAUACAUCGGAACAUGUCCUGUAGUGGGGGAUAGCCCGGCGAAAGCCGGAUUAAUACCGCAUACGAUCUACGGAAGAAAGCGGGGGACCUUCGGGCCUCGCGCUAUAGGGUUGGCCGAUGGCUGAUUAGCUAGUUGGUGGGGUAAAGGCCUACCAAGGCGACGCUCAGUAGCUGGUCUGAGAGGACGACCAGCCACACUGGGACUGAGACACGGCCCAGACUCCUACGGGAGGCAGCAGUGGGGAAUUUUGGACAAUGGGCGAAAGCCUGAUCCAGCAAUGCCGCGUGUGUGAAGAAGGCCUUCGGGUUGUAAAGCACUUUUGUCCGGAAAGAAAUCCUUGGCCCUAAUACGGUCGGGGGAUGACGGUACCGGAAGAAUAAGCACCGGCUAACUACGUG
rnacentral:rRNA from 1 species